rnacentral:rRNA from 1 species
AUAAAAAACCAAUGCCCCUCGGGGCUCUUUGGUGAUUCAUGAUAACUUAACGGAUCGCAUGGCCUUGCGCCGGCGACGGUUCAUUCAAAUUUCUGCCCUAUCAACUUUCGAUGGUAAGGUAUUGGCUUACCAUGGUUUCAACGGGUAACGGGGAAUUAGGGUUCGAUUCCGGAGAGGGAGCCUGAGAAACGGCUACCACAUCCAAGGAAGGCAGCAGGCGCGCAAAUUACCCAAUCCCGACACGGGGAGGUAGUGACAAUAAAUACUGAUACAGGGCUCUUUUGGGUCUUGUAAUCGGAAUGAGUACAAUUUAAACCCCUUAACGAGGAACAAUUGGAGGGCAAGUCUGGUGCCAGCAGCCGCGGUAAUUCCAGCUCCAAUAGCGUAUAUUAAAGUUGUUGCAGUUAAAAAGCUCGUAGUUGAACCUUGGGCCUGGCUGGCCGGUCCGCCUCACCGCGUGUACUGGUCCGGCCGGGCCUUUCCUUCUGGAGAGCCCCAUGCCCUUCACUGGGCGUGC